rnacentral:rRNA from 1 species
GACGAACGCUGGCGGCGUGCUUAACACAUGCAAGUCGAACGGAAAGGCCUCCUUCGGGGGCUACUCGAGUGGCGAACGGGUAAUUAACAGGUGAGUACUUUGCCCUCGACUUUGGGAUAACUUCAGGAAACUGGGGCUAAAACCGGAUAGGACCUCCUGCCUCAUGUUGGGGGUGGGGAAGUUUCGGCGGUUGGGGAAGGCCUCGCGGCUUUUCAGCUUGUUGGUGGGGUAGUGGCUUACCAAGGCGUGGACGGGUAGCCGGCCGGAGAGGGUGACGGGCGGCAAUGAGACUGAGGUGCGGCCGAGAUUACUACGAGAGGAAGCAGUGGGGAAUAUUGCUCAAUAGGUGGAGGACUGAUGCAGCAGCGCCGUGUGCGGGAUGACGGACUUCGGGGUAUAGAACGCUUUCGCUCGUAACGAAGCAUUGUAUGACGGUAGUGGGUGAAGAAGCACCGGCUAACUACGUG